rnacentral:rRNA from 1 species
UGGUUUUGGCGAAGGGGAAACACCCGGUCCCAUCCCGAACCCGGAAGUUAAGCCCUUCAGCGCCGAUGGUACUGCACGGGAGACUGUGUGGGAGAGUAGGACACCGCCGGAC